rnacentral:lncRNA from 7 species
AGACAGAGUACCCUGACCUUGGGAAAAGGCUCUAAUCUAGUGUCUUUAUAGAGAUGAGGAAGCAGCUUUGACAAGUGGAAGUUAAGCCCUGGAUGGUCCUGGACUAUCUGGCCAUUGUUUAAUCUUCUUAACAUGGUCAGCCUGAUGAGUAAUUCUGAGCCUUCACCAAGUUACUUAUUCAGUAUUUCAUCACAGAGAGAAGUCAAACAAAAAGGUCACUACCUGGGUUAUUUGUGUUUUGGUCGACUGUCUGGUCUAAUGUGACACCAUCUGUAACGCGUUUCUGAAAUCUUGUUAGGAAAGCUGAUUUUAAAAGGUCAAUCUGUCCUGCUUUGUGUGAUGAGAUGGAAGACUUACGCUUUGUAAAUGGUUGUGACAUGUAACUUAGCCAGAAAAACGUAAAUUGAAAUUGUUCCUUGUGAAUACUUGUACACUUUAAUGUAACUUUUAACCUGCAUUACAGUGGUGUGCUUACACAAGUUGUUACUAGUUGGAAGCAAUAUUUAGCAUAUUAUAGUGAAGUGUUAUUUCCUUAUGUCUUUGAUAAUGAGCUAAAAGAAACUUGCUGUCCUCCUGUCUGCGUUUUCUGUUCUGGCAGCAUCUUGCUCAGGGUGAAAUGGAGACUAUUUUCAGAUCUUGUGCAUGAACCACAUUGACAGUUUAAAGGGAAAUUAAAGAAAUACAUUUUCAGCUACGUAUCACUGAAAUCCAAAUACCAGUUCACUGAAACCAAAGCAUACACACAUACAGCUGCCAAAAUCUGCAAAAUGUUGUUAACAACUUAGAGUGUUUCUGGUAUAAUUGAAUUUCUCCAUCAAAUAUCCCGGCCUUCCCAUGGUUUCAAAACCAUGAUAAAAUGUGAUUAUUUGUCACGUAGGUAAUUACACUUCUUUUAUCAGUAGUCUUUUUAAAAUAAAUUUCAGCUUAAAAUAUUAUUAAAAACAUUUUGAUUUAGCAUUUAGCAGAAUUAAUGCCUGAGCAUAUUUAUAAAUUGUAUUUGCAGACUCCUUUGACUGUUGUAAAGGGUUGAAAACGUUUGC